AGAGUUUGAUCCUGGCUCAGGACGAACGCUGGCGGCGUGCCUAAUACAUGCAAGUCGAACGAGAGCGACCGGUGCUUGCACUGGUCAAUCUAGUGGCGAACGGGUGAGUAACACGUGGGUAACCUGCCCAUCAGAGGGGGAUAACAUUCGGAAACGGAUGCUAAAACCGCAUAGGUCUUCGAACCGCAUGGUUUGAAGAGGAAAAGAGGCGCAAGCUUCUGCUGAUGGAUGGACCCGCGGUGCAUUAGCUAGUUGGUGAGGUAACGGCUCACCAAGGCCGUGAUGCAUAGCCGACCUGAGAGGGUGAUCGGCCACAUUGGGACUGAGACACGGCCCAAACUCCUACGGGAGGCAGCAGUAGGGAAUCUUCCGCAAUGGACGCAAGUCUGACGGAGCAACGCCGCGUGAGUGAAGAAGGUUUUCGGAUCGUAAAACUCUGUUGUUAGAGAAGAACAAGUGCUAGAGUAACUGUUAGCGCCUUGACGGUAUCUAACCAGAAAGCCACAGCUAACUACGUGCCAGCAGCCGCGGUAAUACGUAGGUGGCAAGCGUUGUCCGGAUUUAUUGGGCGUAAAGCGAGCGCAGGCGGUUCCUUAAGUCUGAUGUGAAAGCCCCCGGCUCAACCGGGGAGGGUCAUUGGAAACUGGGGAACUUGAGUGCAGAAGAGGAGAGUGGAAUUCCAUGUGUAGCGGUGAAAUGCGUAGAUAUAUGGAGGAACACCAGUGGCGAAGGCGACUCUCUGGUCUGUAACUGACGCUGAGGCUCGAAAGCGUGGGUAGCAAACAGGAUUAGAUACCCUGGUAGUCCACGCCGUAAACG
rnacentral:rRNA from 1 species